UUGACAUUUCUGACCCGGACAAAAUUCCCCAAACACUUCUCAAUUGUUUGUGCAGGACAUUUACUCAUCUGCCUUCCUGCAUACACGUGUUCAUAUUUUCCACCUGUCGCCUGCAUCGAAAUCAAAGUUGUUUUCGUUACCAAUAAUACCUUUGGAAAUGUGUGCGUUUCUAUCAAAGUGCCUUAAUACUUUAUAAUAGUUUCUGCAUGUCGUGUUAUGUCGUUUCUACUGUAACGUCAUGUUUUUGUGUAUAUUCCUUAUAACCGCGGACACGCGAUGUAACGUUACUCAUUUCAUAACAUUUAUGGUGUUAUACUCAAUGCUUAGGUAUCUACCUACAUUCUCCUAUUAGCUCUGGAAGACAAUGCUAAUUGCGUCAGGGAAGUAUUAGCAUGUGUUGUAUUUCGAAGCUACCCUGGCCUUAUGACUCCGAAGUGGCACAGCGUCUCAGUGCUAGAAGCGUCACUACAGAGACCCAUCUUCAAAUCAAGACUGCGUUUCUAUCAAAGUGGUCCACCUUCCCUGUGGCCGACAUGGUUGCUGUAUGGACAGUGGAGAGGACAUGGACGUCUCGUUUGUCAUGCCACUUUACUGCCAGCUGUUAACAUUUCUUAUUUUGUAUAACGGGUCAUUUAGGAUGGUAGUAGCGUUGAUGAAAUGCAGUCAUAGCAGCAGAACUAGAAAGCAGUCUUUACUGUCACCAGGAAUGUAUGCAUUUCACUAAUUGUGGUUGUCCCCCACUCAUGGCUCUCUCUUAUCCUGUAGCUCCAAGGCAUAGCGAUUGGUCUCUACUAUGUCUCCCACCAGCUCCUCUGUCAGAAACAACUUGAAGCACUCUGCCUCAGUUGGAAAUGGCAAGGGGCGUUGCACUUCAGACUGGGACUCGUCAAAGCAAACAGCAGGGCCAGGAGGGGUGAAAUGACUGGUGGCCUUCCAGCUACCACAGAACUCCUGUACUUCAUCCACUGUUGGUAUGCCUCCAUCACCACCAGCAUCUUCAAAGGGACCUGGGACUUUGUCAGUGGACAAGGGAAAUUCAGAUUCAGGGUUCUCAAUGGCUACAAGGUUGGGGGGCAGCUCCUCACUCAGUCAGAAUCUGAUUCCUGACUUUCAUACUCUGACUCAUUGUCAGAAUUAAAAAAGAAAAUCUCCAGAAUUUCCACAUUUGUUUGUUGUCUCCUUUUGAAAGACAUUGCUAAUGCUUCAGCUUAGCUCACUAGCUACAUACAUAAACAACAACACUGAAUGGUUUACAGUGAGAGGGUACGUGGUUGACUGCCGGCACGCGCCACUUGUAUCAAUAAAUCACUAUCAGAAAAUG